AACGCUGGCGGCGCGCUUAACACAUGCAAGUCGAGCGAGAACCGGGACUUCGGUCCCGGGGACAGCGGCGAACGGGUGAGUAACACGUGGGUAAUCUGCCCUCGAUUCUGGGAUAGCCCGGGGAAACCCGGAUUAAUACCGGAUAGCCUUUCGAGCCUUCGGGCGCGAAAGAAAAGGUAGCUUCGGCCUCCGAUCGAGGAUGAGCCCGCGGUGGAUUAGCUUGUUGGUGAGGUAAUGGCUCACCAAGGCGACGAUCCAUAGCUGGUCUGAGAGGACGAUCAGCCACACUGGGACUGAGACACGGCCCAGACUCCUACGGGAGGCAGCAGUGGGGAAUCUUGCGCAAUGGGCGAAAGCCUGACGCAGCGACGCCGCGUGGGGGAAGAAGGCCUUAGGGUUGUAAACCUCUUUCAGGCGGGACGAGGCCACUCGGGUUAAUAGCCCAGAGGGUGACGGUACCGCCAGAAGAAGCCCCGGCUAACUACGUGCCAGCCGCCGCGGUAAUAC
rnacentral:rRNA from 1 species